UGAAAAAAUACAAUUGUGAGAAGUUUAAAAACAUCAUUGAGUCCAUACUGACCAAGAAGCUCCACUUGGAGGAGCCGCUGGCAGAGAAGCCCACGGUCCCAGAGCUGCUCAGUCACCAUCACCUCCUGAUAUAGAAGACUGAUGCUCAGCUUGGCCCUGCCAGACCUUCAUUCUUGUUUCUUGCCAUGUAACCCCUGCAUGCACCAGGAUUCCCAGUCACUGCACUGUACACUGUGUGUCUUCCUACAUGGAAAUGCCUGUGGCUGGAAGGAGGAACUGAAUUAGCACCUUUAUGAAGGAGAGGAAGGAAGAAUCCUUGCACUGUUGAUAGAUAACAACCCUAAUAGAAUCUCAGGAAUUGUGACAAGAUCUUUCUCUAAAAGUGGGAGCAAGACCUUGUGUUGCCCUUUGCUUUUCUUGGCACAGGUAUUUCUCCAAACCUGAGUGGUGAUGCUGGUGGAGGGCUCUAUAAGGCAUUGUUAUGAAAAUCUGUUGAAACACAGAGAGCCUAACACUCAUUCCUUCCCAUCUAGAACUUUCUCCACUC